UAGGGAAUAUUGGACAAUGGGGGCAACCCUGAUCCAGCCAUGCCGCGUGAGUGAAGAAGGCCCUCGGGUUGUAAAGCUCUUUUGUCCGGAAAGAAAAGCUUCGGGUUAAUACCCCGGGGUUCUGACGGUACCGGAAGAAUAAGCACCGGCUAACUUCGUGCCAGCAGCCGCGGUAAUACGAAGGGUGCAAGCGUUACUCGGAAUUACUGGGCGUAAAGCGUGCGUAGGUGGUUGUUUAAGUCUGAUGUGAAAGCCCUGGGCUCAACCUGGGAAUGGCAUUCGAAACUGGGCAGCUAGAGUGCGGUAGAGGGUAGUGGAAUUCCCGUUGUAGCAGUGAAAUGCGUAGAGAUCGGGAGGAACAUCUGUGGCGAAGGCGACUGCCUGGACCAGCACUGACACUGAGGCACGAAAGCGUGGGGAGCAAACA
rnacentral:rRNA from 1 species